rnacentral:lncRNA from 1 species
UUGUUGUUAAAGAGGACGUUGGAAAUGUCUUUAUAAUGACAUCAUAAUGGAGCCAUGACAUAAAGUGGAAUAAGGAAGUCACUUAUUCCUCCUGUACAGUAGUAGGAAGAAGAAGAAAACAACCUCUCAGCUCAUUGCUAUGCAAUUAAAAUGUAAUUACCAAAAUAUUAUGUAACAAUAUGCUGCUCCAAAAAAAGUAAUUGUAUAACACAGGCACCAGAACAGUUUAAUGUGUUAUUAAGUGUUAUCGAGAACGCGGACAGUAAGAAAACUAAAUAUCCCUAAAAACUAUCGUCUUUAAAUCAACUACAGCCGAGGUAGUUUACCUGUUAGUUUGUGUUCCUAGUAAACUGUCCCUUUUAAAGGGAAACUUCAGGAUUUUGGCAACGAGGUCCUUUAUCUACUUCCCCAGAAUCAGAUGAACUUGUGGAAACAAUUUUUAUGUCUCUGCGUGCAGUUUGAAGGAGGUUGCUAACUAGCGUUAGCGCAAUGACUAGAAGUCUAUGGGAACCUGCUAAUACCCAUACACUUCCAGUCAUUGUGCUAAUGCUAGUUAGCAUUGUCUCACUAAACUACCCCCCAACUUCCUUCCAUACUGAACACAGAGACAUUAAAGAUGGAAUCCAUGAGUUCAUCUGACUCUGGGUCAGUAGAUACAAUCCUGAAGUAUUCCUUUAAAGAUGGAAUCUACGAGUUCAUCUGACUCUGGGUCAGUAGAUAAACUCCUGAAAUAUUCCUUUAAAGAUGGUAUAGUGUGUUUUGAAAUAAGAACACUUAACCCUCAGAUGGACAAAGAGGUUCCACGUUGGUUUUACUAAGCAUCCAACUUGAUGUUUAUAAUGUUUACAAAAUGGCUUUGAAUUGCUCUGCAGUAUUUUCAGGUAUCAUUAUAAAAGUGCAGCUUUCGACCCUUUUCAGGGGCAUGUUGAAAGAGUCAGACUAUAGCCGAGUCAUAACCUAUUCAUACUUAUCUGUAAAAAAUAUAUAAUUGGUUUGACUUGAUUAUCUACACAUGGGGCAAUGGGCAGUCAGGAAAAUGGACAUUGAACAAAAUGUUCAGAUAUAAAUGUAUUGUGUAGAUCAAAUAUGACUGUCAGAGAUUGAAAGCAGCCAAUCCAAUAGUUUCAGAAAAUAAGUCACUUCCUGAAAUCUGUAUUUAAAUAUUUUAAAAAAGUAGUCACUUCCUGAAAUCUGUAUUCAAAUAGUUUUAAGAAGUAGUCACUUCCCUGAAAUCUGUAUUCAAAUAGUUUUAAGAAGUAGUCACUUCCCGAAAUCUGUAUUCAAAUAGUUUUAAGAAGUAGUCACUUCCUGAAAUCUGUAUUCAAAUAGUUUUAAGAAGUAGUCACUUCCUGAAAUCUGUAUUCAAAUAGUUUUAAGAAGUAGUCACUUCCUGAAAUCUGUAUUCAAAUAGUUAAAAAAAAAAAAAUCGCCGCCAAAGUAGCUAUUUGUUUCCCCAAUAAUUCCAAAGCAGUUCAAGGGAAUGGGCUGCCAUUUGGGACAACCAGAGUGGAGUGGAUGGAGCACAGUCAAACCCAGCCCUAAGAGAUUGGACAGGCCGGCACUAAUGGCGAGUGUUCAUUGGUUUGCCUACAAAAACUAAACUGCUGUGAAAUUAACUGUGAUGUAACUACAUUGAAAACGAGCAGAUAAUUUUAAUUUUAAUUACAAAACGGACCCAGAUUUAAUCUGAAUAAAAGAC